ACUCAAAGGAAUUGACGGGGGCCCGCACAAGCGGCGGAGCAUGCGGAUUAAUUCGAUGCAACGCGAAGAACCUUACCAAGGCUUGACAUGUACGAGAAAGCCCCAGAGAUGGGGUUCUCUUUGGACACUCGUACACAGGUGGUGCAUGGUUGUCGUCAGCUCGUGUCGUGAGAUGUUGGGUUAAGUCCCGCAACGAGCGCAACCCUUAUCCUAUGUUGCCAGCGGGUUAUGCCGGGGACUCAUGGGAGACUGCCGGGGUCAACUCGGAGGAAGGUGGGGAUGACGUCAAAUCAUCAUGCCCCUUAUGUCUUGGGCUUCACGCAUGCUACAAUGGCCGGUACAGAGGGCUGCGAUACCGUGAGGUGGAGCGAAUCCCAAAAAGCCGGUCUCAGUUCGGAUCGGGGUCUGCAACUCGACCCCGUGAAGUCGGAGUCGCUAGUAAUCGCAGAUCAGCAACGCUGCGGUGAAUACGUUCCCGGGCCUUGUACACACCGCCCGU
rnacentral:rRNA from 1 species